GUCUUCUUGUUAUAUUUGGGAAGUCUGGCCUGCCCAGUGAAAAUAAUUUAACGGCCGCGGUAUACUGACCGUGCAAAGGUAGCAUAAUCAUUAGUCUUUUAAUAGAGGGCUGGUAUGAAGGGUUUAACGAGGUGUUGACUGUCUCAUUUAAUUUGAACUUAGAACUUAAUUUUUUAGUUAAAAAGCUAAAAUUUUAUUGGAAGACGAGAAGACCCUAUAGAGCUUUAUAUUUUUACUAUUAAUUUAUUAUAGAUUAUUAUUAUUUAUUAUUGGUAUAAAAUAUUUUGUUGGGGUGACAAAAAUAUAUAAAUAACUUUUUUAUUUCAUUUACAUUGCUAUAUGAAUAUUAGAUCCAAUCUUAUUGAUUGUUAGAUUAAGUUACCUUAGGGAUAACAGCGUAAUCCCUCUCCAGAGUUCAUAUUUACAGAGGGGCUUGCGACCUCGAUGUUGGAUUAAGAUAAUAAUUAGGUGUAGCCGCUUAAUUAAUAGGUCUGUUCGACCUUUAAAUUCUU
rnacentral:rRNA from 1 species